AGAGUUUGAUCCUGGCUCAGAUUGAACGCUGGCGGCAUGCUUUACACAUGCAAGUCGAGCGGCAGCGCGGGGGCAACCCUGGCGGCGAGCGGCGAACGGGUGAGUAACACAUCGGAACGUAUCCCGUAGAGGGGGAUAGCCCGGCGAAAGCCGGAUUAAUACCGCAUAUGCUCUACGGAGGAAAGCAGGGGACCUGCAAGGGCCUUGCGCUAUGGGAGCGGCCGAUGUCCGAUUAGCUUGUUGGCGGGUAAAGGCCCACCAAGGCGACGAUCGGUAGCUGGUCUGAGAGGAUGAUCAGCCACACUGGGACUGAGACACGGCCCAGACUCCUACGGGAGGCAGCAGUGGGGAAUUUUGGACAAUGGGGGAAACCCUGAUCCAGCCAUGCCGCGUGAGUGAAGAAGGCCUUCGGGUUGUAAAGCUCUUUUGGUCGGAAAGAAGGGGUUUGGGUGAAUAGCCUGGAUCUUUGACGGUACCGGCAGAAUAAGCACCGGCUAACUACGUGCCAGCAGCCGCGGUAAUACGUAGGGUGCGAGCGUUAAUCGGAAUUACUGGGCGUAAAGAGUGCGUAGGCGGUUCUCCAAGUCCGUUGUGNGAAGCCCCGGGCUCAACCUGGGA
rnacentral:rRNA from 1 species